rnacentral:rRNA from 1 species
AGACGGAAAGACCCCGUGAACCUUUACUAUAGCUUGACACUGAACAUUGAGCCUUGAUGUGUAGGAUAGGUGGGAGGCUUUGAAGUGUGGACGCCAGUCUGCAUGGAGCCGACCUUGAAAUACCACCCUUUAAUGUUUGAUGUUCUAACGUUGACCCGUAAUCCGGGUUGCGGACAGUGUCUGGUGGGUAGUUUGACUGGGGCGGUCUCCUCCUAAAGAGUAACGGAGGAGCACGAAGGUUGGCUAAUCCUGGUCGGACAUCAGGAGGUUAGUGCAAUGGCAUAAGCCAGCUUGACUGCGAGCGUGACGGCGCGAGCAGGUGCGAAAGCAGGUCAUAGUGAUCCGGUGGUUCUGAAUGGAAGGGCCAUCGCUCAACGGAUAAAAGGUACUCCGGGGAUAACAGGCUGAUACCGCCCAAGAGUUCAUAUCGACGGCGGUGUUUGGCACCUCGAUGUCGGCUCAUCACAUCCUGGGGCUGAAGUAGGUCCCAAGGGUAUGGCUGUUCGCCAUUUAAAGUGGUACGCGAGCUGGGUUUAGAACGUCGUGAGACAGUUCGGUCCCUAUCUGCCGUGGGCGCUGGAGAACUGAGGGGGGCUGCUCCUAGUACGAG